rnacentral:lncRNA from 1 species
UUUUUCUUCCUCUUUACUACGACUUCCUCUUCCUAAUUACCAUUUUUCUUCUUCUUCUGCUUCCUCCAGGUAUUCUCCAAUAUAAAUGCAUUUGAUGGAGGCAACCUCAGUUUUGCUCCAUGGCCCUCAUUUGAAUAUUUCCGAUCCAACAAGAUUCUUAAUCAUGGCUCUGCUUUUCAACUGCAUCAAGACUGUUGUGUCCAGAGAUUGAACUCAAGUAACAUCACCAGGAGAAGAUUGAUGUUAGCAAAGGACUCACUGAAUGUUUUCAGUUCCCUUCUAUGUGGAAUUUGCUCUUGAAGGUCCAAAGGAGAAUAUACACAUCUAUAUAAUAUUCACCUACAUGUGAGUAUAAAUAUUUAUACAUGUAAAUGUAUGCAUAUGGGUACAUAUUAUAUACACGCAUGUGUGCAUGUGCUUAUAUUUAUGUAAAAUAGUUGCCUCAAGAAGUUUAAUUCCAUGUUUUAUUAAUGCAAGGGCUAAAACAAUAAG